CACAAGAACCCAACACAGCGUCCACCAAUCACUAGUACUCUAGUAUGGGAGCGCUUAACUGGCGCCCGAGCAGGGACGCACAUUCUUCACGGAAGUAAAGGGAAAUGGUGACGUGUCAAUAAUUCUAUAAAAAUAACUUAUUAAAAAAGCAAGUACAAAUAAAUUGUUCCAAUCCAAUUGGGCAAUUGUUGGCAAAAUUACGAAGUACUUCUGCGAUUUGCAAACAAGUGUUGGUGCACUAGAUAAUUCUAUAACAUAAAAGAAAUCGUGGCUAAAUGGUGGUAUUGGCAAUACCUAGGUUCAAAUCCGUGCCGAGACGAGUCUUAAAACGAAAAUACAAGAAAUUUGCAGGCAUAAUGGUGGUACGAGAUUGAUUCUCGUAUCGAGGUUCAAAUCCUUGCCGUUAGACAAAUGUCAUAAAAAAUAAACGUCACAAUUUCCACCUGUGUUGAAUGAUGGGCUUCCGUAUAAAUUAAAAGAAACCUAGUGGUCAAAGUUAAGUUUAAAGCACUAACUAUAUAACAAAAUUAAAAGGCGGUUGUCUGGAAAUCUCUAAUCAAAGAGGAAUACUUUGGGCUUCCCUUUCGGAAAAGAAUAAGUCUGGCAACAAUAUAUAAAAGAAAAAAGUAAAAUAAAUAAAUAAAUGAAACGAAAGUAAGAGAGAGACCAGAUGAUUGUGGAACCACCCUCACCUAAGUACACCAAAAAGGAUCACCAAAAAGGAUCCUGAGGGCUUCCCAAGCCAUAUAAAAUAAUAAAAACUGUUUGCCGGUUCGGUAACAAAAGAUAA